rnacentral:lncRNA from 1 species
AUGUGGCCUGUGAGGUGUUUGCAAUUGAAGAAGACUUUGGAAGAGCCAGAGUAUACUGUUAGUUCGGGAACCCUGAUUUACUUCAACAACCUAUUGAGUCAAUGUCGCUCUGAUGCUUUCAGGAUUGGGAUUAGCUUUAAGCGAUGUUUUCAUAAUGGCGAAUACCCGAUGGCAAAAAGGCAGUUAAACUUCUUGCAAAUUGGAGGUAAGUGUUCAUCUUCUUCAUUCAAUAUGAAGUUACUCAUGCGAUAUCUUGCUUACAAGUCGUCGAGGUGA